rnacentral:rRNA from 1 species
CCCGAUGCAAACUGCGAAUACCGGAGAAUGUUAUCACGGGAGACACACGGCGGGUGCUAACGUCCGUCGUGAAGAGGGAAACAACCCAGACCGCCAGCUAAGGUCCCAAAGUCAUGGUUAAGUGGGAAACGAUGUGGGAAGGCCCAGACAGCCAGGAUGUUGGCUUAGAAGCAGCCAUCAUUUAAAGAAAGCGUAAUAGCUCACUGGUCGAGUCGGCCUGCGCGGAAGAUGUAACGGGGCUAAACCAUGCACCGAAGCUGCGGCAGCGAACGUAUCACCCAAGACAACUUUACGGAGUUGACGAUUGACGGAGCGAAGCGACGUCAAAGCGUUCAUUAAAGUCGAGUUGGCUUAGGGAUACGUUCGUUGGGUAGGGGAGCGUUCUGUAAGCCUGUGAAGGUGUGUCGUGAGGCAUGCUGGAGGUAUCAGAAGUGCGAAUGCUGACAUAAGUAACGAUAAAGCGGGUGAAAAGCCCGCUCGCCGGAAGACCAAGGGUUCCUGUCCAACGUUAAUCGGGGCAGGGUGAGUCGACCCCUAAGGCGAGGCCGAAAGGCGUAGUCGAUGGGAAACGGGUUAAUAUUCCCGUACUUGGUGUUACUGCGAAGGGGGGACGGAGAAGGCUAUGUUGGCCGGGCGACGGUUGUCCCGGUUUAAGCGUGUAGGUGUGUGUUCCAGGUAAAUCCGGUUCACUUUAACACUGAGGCGUGACGACGAGGCACUACGGUGCUGAAGCAACAAAUGCCCUGCUUCCAGGAAAAGCCUCUAAGCAUCAGGUAACACGAAAUCGUACCCCAAACCGACACAGGUGGUCAGGUAGAGAAUACCAAGGCGCUUGAGAGAACUCGGGUGAAGGAACUAGGCAAAAUGGUGCCGUAACUUCGGGAGAAGGCACGCUGACACGUAGGUGAAGUGAUUUACUCAUGGAGCUGAAGUCAGUCGAAGAUACCAGCUGGCUGCAACUGUUUAUUAAAAACACAGCACUGUGCAAACACGAAAGUGGACGUAUACGGUGUGACGCCUGCCCGGUGCCGGAAGGUUAAUUGAUGGGGUCAGCG